rnacentral:rRNA from 1 species
CCAGAGAUGGAUUGGUGCCUUCGGGAACUCUGAGACAGGUGCUGCAUGGCUGUCGUCAGCUCGUGUUGUGAAAUGUGGGUUAAGUCCCGCAACGAGCGCAACCUUAUCCUUGUUGCCAGCGGUUAGGCCGGGAACUCAAAGGAGACUGCCAGUGAUAAACUGGAGGGAAGGUGGGGAUGACGUCAAGUCAUCAUGGCCCUUACGAGUAGGGCUACACACGUGCUACAAUGGCAUAUACAAAGAGAAGCGACCUCGCGAGAGCAAGCGGACCUCAUAAAGUAUGUCGUAGUCCGGAUUGGAGUCUGCAACUCGACUCCAUGAAGUCGGAAUCGCUAGUAAUCGUGGAUCAGAAUGCCACGGUGAAUACGUUCCCGGGCCUU